ensembl:misc_RNA 7SK 7SK RNA
GGAUGUGAGGGCAAUCUGGCUGGGAUGUCUGUCACCCCAUGGAUUUCCAGGGUUGAUUCGGCUGAUCUAGCUGGCUAGGCUGGUGUCCCCUUCUUCCCUCACCACUCCUUGUGUGUCCAUCCCGAAGCUACGUGCUCUGCUGAAGAGGACGACCAUCCCCAACAGAGGAGGACCAGUCUUUGGUCAAGGGUAUGUGAGUAGGUGCACUCCCCUGCUAGAACCUCCAAACAAGCUCUCGAUUAUUUAAAAAAAAAAAAAAAAAAGCAUCAAAACAUUUAGCAACAGUCUCUUUGUUUAUUUCUAGGAUUUAUCAAGUUCUGA